UCUUUCGUAGCUUAGUGGUCAGAGCAUUGGUGCGUAAAGCCAAAAAGUCUCGAGUUCGAUUCCCGGCGAGGGUG
rfam:Agrilus planipennis Contig69762, whole genome shotgun sequence.